rnacentral:rRNA from 1 species
AGUUCUCGAACAGACCUCUAUUUUUCUUUUUUUAAGAAAAAUUUAAAGACCGAUCGGCGACGCUAUAGCUUUGGGUACUUUCAGGACCCGUCUUGAAACACGGACCAAGGAGUCUAGCAUGUGCGCGAGUCAUUGGGAAUAUCACUAAACCUAAAGGCGUAAUGAAAGUGAAGGUCUUCCUCGCGAAGACCGAGGGAAGACGGACGAUCGCGCGAAUUAAUUUUUUCCGAUCGUCCUGCAUUCCCGGGGCGUCUCGUUCACAUCGCGUGAAGAGGCGCACCAAGAGCGUACACGCUGGGACCCGAAAGAUGGUGAACUAUGCCUGGUCAGGACGAAGUCAGGGGAAACCCUGAUGGAGGUCCGUAGCGAUUCU